UGUCCUUGUGCAUUUCUGAUGAAGAAUUGGGAAUGAAGAAAGAAAACUUGAGCAUAAUUGUGUGGGUUGUUUUGUUUUUUCUUUGGAGCUCUGACUGCUGCAUGUGCCCUCCACAUGGACCAGUGUGAAAGCUAAAAGCAUCUGCAAAACAGAAGACCAUGGGUUUUGUGAAGCUGUUCUUGGCUAUAAAAUUUGGGUUGCAGAAUCCCUUUUAUUCCUGAUGCAGAAGAUGGAAAGAGCCCAAUUUAAUGUUAACAUCCCAAGCAGAGUUUGCAAGGCUGGAGAAUAAAAUGGGAGUCAACAUCUGAAACAAUGUGGGUAUUCCAGAUUGUUUGUCUGUCUUCAACUGCUCCACACAGAUGUUGAUGUGCUGCUACUUGAGUUCCUUGGCAGAAUCAUCAGAGGUUCAGCCUGUAGAUCUGACAUUAUCAACUAUAAAAUUUGAUCUUCUGCAACAAAUACAACCUUACUGUGAUUCCUGUGAAGGCACUGAAGAUGACCCAGGGUACUUAAACAAGU